rnacentral:rRNA from 1 species
ACCUGCCCACCACUUGGGGAUAACCUUGCGAAAGUAAGACUAAUACCCAAUGAUAUCUCUAGAAGACAUCUGAGAGAGAUUAAAGAUUUAUCGGUGAUGGAUGGGGAUGCGUCUGAUUAGCUUGUUGGCGGGGUAACGGCCCACCAAGGCAACGAUCAGUAGGGGUUCUGAGAGGAAGGUCCCCCACAUUGGAACUGAGACACGGUCCAAACUCCUACGGGAGGCAGCAGUGAGGAAUAUUGGUCAAUGGACGAGAGUCUGAACCAGCCAAGUAGCGUGCAGGAUGACGGCCCUAUGGGUUGUAAACUGCUUUUAUAAGGGAAUAAAGUGAGUCUCGUGAGACUUUUUGCAUGUACCUUAUGAAUAAGGACCGGCUAAUUCCGUGCCGGCAGCCGCGGUAAUACGGAAGGUCCGGGCGUUAUCCGGAUUUAUUGGGUUUAAAGGGAGCGUAGGCCGGAGAUUAAGCGUGUUGUGAAAUGUAGACGCUCAACGUCUGCACUGCAGCGCGAACUGGUUUCCUUGAGUACGCACAAAGUGGGCGGAAUUCGUGGUGUAGCGGUGAAAUGCUUAGAUAUCACGAAGAACUCCGAUUGCGAAGGCAGCUCACUGGAGCGCAACUGACGC